rnacentral:tRNA from 1 species
GCGGCCGUAGCUUAAUGCACAAAGCAGCGGUCUUCGGAACCGAAGAGUGCAGGUUGGACUCCUGCCGGCCGCG